rnacentral:ribozyme from 13 species
AUGAAAACGUUCAUGCUCCAGAGGAAAAAAGAAAGACCAAAGAAGGAAGAUUAGAAAAACUGUCAGAGAAGUAAUUAUCUUCAUCUCCAAUUUCAUUUUCUCAUUUC